UCUGAGAAAGGAGCUGAUGAAUAUCAAAUAAGACCAUCAAACUGUGAGCAUGUAUUAUAAAUUGCUGAGAACCAUUUGGGAGGAGCUCUCAAAUUACAGACCCAAUUGCACUUGUAACAAUUGUACAUGCGGGGGUGUCAAGAAACUUCGAGAACAUUAUCACAAGGAGUAUAUCAUGUCCUUUCUCAUGGGACUUCAAGAUUCAUACUCUUAAGUUCGAGGAAUACUUUACUCGUGGAUCCCUUCCUGAACUCAGCAGGGUUUUUCACUUGGUUACUUAGGAAGAAAAUAAAAAAAAGACUGUUACAAAUGAUCCAAUAGAUUCUACUCCAUCAAUGGCAUUUGCACUGCAAGGGGACAAAACCAAUUCUCAAAGAAGUGAUUCCAACACCUCUCGGGCUUACCCUCCACGAAAGAAUCGACCCUUUUGUACCCAUUUUAAUGUCCAUGGACAUACAAUUGAAAAAUGCUACAAGAUCCAUGGCUGUCCUCCUGGAUACAACAAGCCAAAACAAUCAAAGGAUGCUGCUGCCAAUCAAUUUCAAACUACAGAUUAGUCUCACUCGGUUUUUAGUGACAAUUCCACUCUUCUUCCUCAGUUGACUUCUGCACAAUAUCAAUAACUCUUGAACCUUUUGGCCACUCAACAAACUAGUAUGCCCUCUAUGGAUCCUAGUUCAUCGACAGGACACCAACAAUCAGAGGAUGAUUGGAAGAGAUAGAUCCCUUAAUGGUCUAUAUAUUCUAGAUUCCACAUCAUCUACAUCCCCUGUUUUCUCUGUGUCUGCGAAAAAAUUGUCACUCGUGGCUUGGACAUCUCUCCAAUAAACGCUUAGAUUUGAUUAAAUCUGAUUACCUUGUAACAUUUCCUCUUUACAUAAACAUUUACCAUGUUAUAUAUGUCCUAUGGCUAAAGAAAGGAAGUUACCUUUUUCCAAUAAUAAUAAUUUUUCUUCUAAAUUUUUUGAUCU